GCAAAGAUAAAAACACAGUUUCGGUUGGUAGUCCGAACAUAUUCGUGACAGGCUAGAUUUGUUUUUCUAAUGACAAUUGAAGUAGGUCACGACUAUCAGUAACCCUCCUCCUUGGUUGUCCCUUCUUUGUAAUGU
rnacentral:ncRNA from 1 species